rnacentral:misc_RNA from 1 species
GAUGAAGAACGCAGCGAACUGCGAUAAGUAAUGUGAAUUGCAGAGUUCAGUGAAUCAUCGAGUCUUUGAACGCACAUUGCGCCCCCUGGCAUUCCGGGGGGCAUGCCUGUCCGAGCGUCAUUGCUGCCCUUCAAGCCCGGCUUGUGUGUUGGGUCGUCGUCCCCCCCGGGGGACGGGCCCGAAAGGCAGCGGCGGCACCGCGUCCGGUCCUCGAGCGUAUGGGGCUUUGUCACCCGCUCGAUUAGGGCCGGCCGGGCGCCAGCCGGCGUCUCCAACCUUCUAUUUUACCAGGUUGACCUCGGAUCAGGUAGGGAUACCCGCUGAACUUAAGCAUAUCAAUAAGCGGAGGA